rnacentral:rRNA from 1 species
UACAGAGGUCUCAAGCGUUGUUCGGAUUCAUUGGGCGUAAAGGGUGCGUAGGCGGCGUCGUAAGUCGGGUGUGAAAUCUCGGGGCUCAACUCCGAAAUUGCAUUCGAUACUGCGGUGCUUGAGGACUGGAGAGGAGACUGGAAUUCACGGUGUAGCAGUGAAAUGCGUAGAUAUCGUGAGGAAGACCGGUGGCGAAGGCGGGUCUCUGGACAGUUCCUGACGCUGAGGCACGAAGGCCAGGGGAGCAAACGGG